GCUGAAGUGUCAUUUGAGUAGUCCCAGCUACUCAGGAGGCUGAGGCUGAAGUGUCACUUGAGUCCAGGAGUUCUGGGCCGCAGUGCGCUAUGUUGAUGAGGUGUCCACACUAAGUUCGGCAUCAAUAUGGUGACCUCCCGGGAACGGGGGACCACCAGGUUGCCUAAGAAGGGGUGAACCGGCCCAGGUCAGAAACAGAGCAGGUCAAGACUCCUGUGCUGAUCAGUAGUGGGAUCAUGCCUGUGAAUAGCCACUGCACUCCAGCCUGGGCAAAAUAGUGAGACCCCGUCUCU
rnacentral:SRP_RNA from 1 species